AGUGGGGGGUGUGUGAGAGACAACGACAUGUUGAUAUAUCUCUUCCUCUUUAUCCUUCUCUUCUCCUCUCUCUAAAAAUAAAUAAAAUCUUAAAAAGUUCAGUCUUUUAUUGAGAAGCACUUUCAUUUUCCUCAAAUAUUCCAACAUGUUAUUUCCUCACCAAGAGUGGAUUCGUUUAAGCCAGAAACAAUUUUAGAGUGUUCCGUUGCAGGUUUGUGUUCUGGAUGCUGCAGCCCGCCCUGGGUUUCCCUGUAUGCCCGGAACACUGUACGGCGCCCAGGCCAUUGCGAGAUACGGCAAAGGCAGAUUCCAGAGUGUUCUCAGUCAACGGGAAUUGAAGGGCUCCCAACGGCAGUCACUUGCACCCAACACCUUACACCCAAGAGUGGGCCUCAGAAUUAAAGGGCUUUGGAUGCCCUGUUGGUUAGGAGAAUAAACUGAGAGUAUCAAUUAAGAAUUAAGACACAGUGCCCCCUUGAAGCUACCCCAAGCAGCGGAGAUUGGGACUGUUUUGGAACCUGAUGACAAAAUAUGGUGAAGAAAAUUUGAUUAUGCCUGAUUACGUGGGGUCUCCACUUUCCUUUUUUUCCCCUCUGAAUCUUGCAGAUUUCUACCACAGGUAAGGAUUUGCCUUGGAAGGAGGGCCCUGGUUGAGAGGCGAGGAAGCUGAAGGAAGGAGUGUCUGUCCAAGUCGCAGGCACUUCAGAAACACAAAGAAGAAUCAUUAGAUUACAGAUAAUGCCGUGGGCUGAGGCAUGCUCCCCCGUCCUGUUCGUGUGCUGAAAUCCUAACUCCUGGUGCCUCUGAACGUGACUGUAUCUGGAAGCAGAGUCUUUAAAGAGGUGAGU